rnacentral:rRNA from 1 species
UGGGGAAUUUUCCGCAAUGGGGGCAACCCUGACGGAGCAACGCCGCGUGCGGGAGGAAGGCCUUUGGGUUGUAAACCGCUUUUCUCAGGGAAGAAGCUCUGACGGUACCUGAGGAAUCAGCCUCGGCUAACUCCGUGCCAGCAGCCGCGGUAAUACGGAGGAGGCAAGCGUUAUCCGGAAUCAUUGGGCGUAAAGCGUUCGCAGGCGGCGAUUCAAGUCUGCUGUCAAAGCCCGCAGCUCAACUGCGGACAGGCAGUGGAAACUGAAUCGCUAGAGUGCGGCAGGGGUAGAGGGAAUUCCCGGUGUAGCGGUGAAAUGCGUAGAUAUCGGGAAGAACACCAGUAGCGAAGGCGGCUCGCUGGGCCAUUCCUGACGCUGAGACGCGAAAGCAUGGGGAGCGAACAGGAUUAGAUACCCCUGUAGUCC